UACGAAGGGUGCAAGCGUUACUCGGAAUUACUGGGCGUAAAGCGUGCGUAGGUGGUGAGUUAAGUCUGUCGUGAAAGCCCCCGGGCUCAACCUGGGAAUGGCGAUGGAUACUGGCUCGCUAGAGUGCGGUAGAGGAGAGUGGAAUUCCCGGUGUAGCAGUGAAAUGCGUAGAGAUCGGGAGGAACAUCAGUUGCGAAGGCGGCUCUCUGGACCAGCACUGACACUGAGGCACGAAAGCGUGGGGAGCAAACAGG
rnacentral:rRNA from 1 species